UUUAAAAGGGCCACUCCAGUGAAGACGAGUAGGGCGGGGCACGUGAAACCCUGUCUGAAUAUGGGGGGACCAUCCUCCAAGGCUAAAUACUCCUGACCGACCGAUAGUGAACCAGUACCGUGAGGGAAAGGCGAAAAGAACCCCGGAGAGGGGAGUGAAAUAGAUCCUGAAACCGUGUGCGUACAAGCAGUAGGAGCUCGCAAGAGUGACUGCGUACCUUUUGUAUAAUGGGUCAGCGACUUACUGUUCGUGGCAAGCUUAACCGUAUAGGGGAGGCGAAGGGAAACCGAGUCUGAUAAGGGCGCAUAGUCGCGGGCAGUAGACCCGAAACCGGGUGAUCUAGUCAUGGCCAGGGUGAAGGUGCCGUAACAGGUACUGGAGGCCCGAACCCACGUCUGUUGCAAAAGACGGGGAUGAGCUGUGAUUAGGAGUGAAAAGCUAAUCGAACCCGGAGAUAGCUGGUUCUCCUCGAAAGCUAUUUAGGUAGCGCCUCGGACGAAUACUACUGGGGGUAGAGCACUGUUAUGGCUAGGGGGUCAUCGCGACUUACCAAACCAUUGCAAACUCCGAAUACCAGUACGUACUAUCCGGGAGACACACGGCGGGGGCUAACGUCCGUCGUGAAAAGGGAAACAACCCAGACCCACAGCUAAGGUCCCAAAUUCACUGCUAAGUGGAAAACGAUGUGGAAAGGCAUAGACAGCCAGGAGGUUGGCUUAGAAGCAGCCACCCUUUAAAGAAAGCGUAAUAGCUCACUGGUCGAGUCGGUCUGCGCGGAAGAUUUAACGGGGCUAAGCAGUGAACCGAAGCUUGGGGUGCAUAAAACUUGUUUUAUGCGCGGUAGAGGAGCGUUCCGUAAGCCUGCGAAGGUGGAUUGAGAAGUCUGCUGGAGGUAUCGGAAGUGCGAAUGCUGACAUGAGUAACGAUAAUGCGGGUGAAAAGCCCGCACGCCGAAAGCCCAAGGUUUCCUUGCGCAACGUUAAUCGACGCAGGGUUAGUCGGUCCCUAAGGCGAGGGCGAAAGCCGUAGUCGAUGGGAAGCAGGUUAAUAUUCCUGCACCUCGCGUGAGUGCGAUGGAGGGACGGAGAAGGUUAGGUGUACCGGGCGUUGGUUGUCCCGGGGAAAGGCGGUAGGUUUGGAUCUUUGGCAAAUCCGGGAUCCUUUAAGACCGAGCACCGAGACGAGCCUUUAUGGCGAAGUCACUGAUACCACGCUUCCAGGAAAAGCUCCUAAGCUUCAGCUCACGAAGACCGUACCGUAAACCGACACAGGUGGGUAGGAUGAGAAUUCUCAGGCGCUUGAGAGAACUCGGGUGAAGGAACUAGGCAACAUGGCACCGUAACUUCGGGAGAAGGUGCACCCUUUUUGGUGGCUCAUGCGAGCUAUAGCUGAAGAGGGUCGCAGAAACCAGGCCGCUGCGACUGUUUAUCAAAAACACAGCACUCUGCAAACACGAAAGUGGACGUAUAGGGUGUGACGCCUGCCCGGUGCUGGAAGGUUAAUUGAUGGGGUCAGCCGCAAGGCGAAGCUCUUGAUCGAAGCCCCAGUAAACGGCGGCCGUAACUAUAACGGUCCUAAGGUAGCGAAAUUCCUUGUCGGGUAAGUUCCGACCUGCACGAAUGGCGUAACGACAGCGGCGCUGUCUCCACCCGAGACUCAGUGAAAUUGAAAUCGCUGUGAAGAUGCAGCGUUCCCGUGGCAAGACGGAAAGACCCCGUGAACCUUUACUAUAGCUUUACACUGAACGUUGAGUUCGUCUGUGUAGGAUAGGUGGGAGGCUAUGAAACUGUGGCGCUAGCUGCAGUGGAGCCAUCCUUGAAAUACCACCCUGUCGUGCUUGACGUUCUAACCUAGAUCCGUUAUCCGGAUCAGGGACCGUGUAUGGUGGGUAGUUUGACUGGGGCGGUCUCCUCCUAAAGAGUAACGGAGGAGCACGAAGGUACGCUCAGCGCGGUCGGACAUCGCGCACUGUGUGCAAAGGCAUAAGCGUGCUUGACUGCAAGAUCGACGGAUCAAGCAGGUACGAAAGUAGGUCUUAGUGAUCCGGUGGUUCUGUAUGGAAGGGCCAUCGCUCAACGGAUAAAAGGUACUCCGGGGAUAACAGGCUGAUACCGCCCAAGAGUUCAUAUCGACGGCGGUGUUUGGCACCUCGAUGUCGGCUCAUCACAUCCUGGGGCUGUAGUCGGUCCCAAGGGUAUGGCUGUUCGCCAUUUAAAGUGGUACGCGAGCUGGGUUCAGAACGUCGUGAGACAGUUCGGUCCCUAUCUGCCAUGGGCGUUGGAAGUUUGAGAGGGGCUGCUCCUAGUACGAGAGGACCGGAGUGGACGAACCUCUGGUGUUCCGGUUGUCACGCCAGUGGCAUUGCCGGGUAGCUAUGUUCGGAAGCGAUAACCGCUGAAAGCAUCUAAGCGGGAAGCGCGCCUCAAGAUGAGACUUCCCGGGGCACAAGCCCCCUAAAGGAACCAUAUAGACUAUGUGGUUGA
rnacentral:rRNA from 1 species